rnacentral:rRNA from 1 species
UGGGGAAUAUUGGACAAUGGGCGGAAGCCUGAUCCAGCAACGCCGCGUGAGGGAUGACGGCCUUCGGGUUGUAAACCUCUUUCAGCACAGACGAAGCGCAAGUGACGGUAUGUGCAGAAGAAGGACCGGCCAAACUACGUGCCAGCAGCCGCGGUAAUACGUAGGGUCCGAGCGUUGUCCGGAAAUUAUUGGGCGUAAAGGGCUCGUAGGCGGUUUGUCGCGUCGGGAGUGAAAACACCGGGCUUAACUCGGUGCUUGCUUUCGAUACGGGCAGACUAGAGGCAUUCAGGGGAGAACGGAAUUCCUGGUGUAGCGGUGAAAUGCGCAGAUAUCAGGAGGAACACCGGUGGCGAAGGCGGUUCUCUGGGAAUGUCCUGACGCUGAGGAGCGAAAAGUGUGGGGAGCGAACAGGAUUNGAUACCCUGGUAGUCCACACCGUAAAACGUUGGGCGCUAGGUGUGGGGAUCCCAAUUCCACGGGUUCCCGUGCCGCAGCUAACGCAUUAAGCGCCCCGCCUGGGGAGUACGGCCGCAAGGCUAAAACUCAAAGGAAUUGACGGGGUCAU